UGUUGCAACUGUAUUCGUCUAACAGUGUGUCUGUAGCUGAAGAUUACUCAAAUCCGAGAAUACUUGUUCAAUUAUAAGAACAAACCCCAAACUAGUAAGAUUCCAACCCCCAUAUUUAACACAAAAAGGAUUGAAAUUCGUCCUGAGUUAACGACAUGCAUAUGAAUUUACUUGUCCCAAAGUUGGUCCAAGAGGUGGACCAGCCGACGCCAUGCCAGAUGGAAUUAUUGCUCGUAUCUUGUUGCCAUGGACAACUUUCUCAGCGGACUUCUUCAGAGUUCUUAACCUGGAGUGUCGUCAGAUACCUUUUCAGAAAAUGUACUGCACCAGGUGAAACUUCGAAAAAUGGUUGUGCUUGCAUCCAUUAUACUUUUAGGAGGGACGUAUUAUACAACUUGAAGGUGACAGACUGCUGGAAUGUUGCGCCGUGUAGCCUGAUAGAAGGCCGUCAUUUCUGAGGCUUCUUGUCACCAUCAACAGGGUGAUCUGGCCUGUAUGUAUCUUAAAUCGAAUUAUAAAAUUACUGAGUAGAAUUUGAGGUAUUCACAGCUAGUGUAAUCUGCAUUUGUAUUCUUGAGUGUAGAAAUUGCUUACGUGAUAAAUAGCAUUGUACACACAUGUAAUGUAUUUUAUUUGUAAAGACUUCCUUUUUGCAUAUAAAUUUGUGAAAUAAAGGUAGAAAAGUCUACUUUCUUGGUACAAA